rnacentral:rRNA from 1 species
AGAGCGAACGCUGGCGGCAGGCCUAACACAUGCAAGUCGAACGGACCCUUCGGGGUUAGUGGCGGACGGGUGAGUAACACGUGGGAACGUGCCUUUUGGUUCGGAAUAGCUCCUGGAAACGGGUGGUAAUGCCGAAUGUGCCCUUCGGGGGAAAGAUUUAUCGCCAUUAGAGCGGCCCGCGUCUGAUUAGCUAGUUGGUGAGGUAAAGGCUCACCAAGGCUACGAUCAGUAGCUGGUCUGAGAGGAUGACCAGCCACAUUGGGACUGAGACACGGCCCAAACUCCUACGGGAGGCAGCAGUGGGGAAUCUUGCGCAAUGGGCGAAAGCCUGACGCAGCCAUGCCGCGUGAAUGAUGAAGGUCUUAGGAUUGUAAAAUUCUUUCACCGGGACGAUAAUGACGGUACCCGGAGAAGAAGCCCGGCUAACUUCGUGCCAGCAGCCGC